GAAGGGUUAAGGUUACUUAAAAAACUUUAAAAUUUUCUUCAAAAACAUUUGGUCAUUAAAAAAUAAAGUUUUACUUUUGCACUCGCAAAUACGGAGCGACACUGACAGAGAGAUUGCUUCGGAAAAAGCGGAAGAUAUAAAGAUCAUUGACAUACAAUAUAACAACCAAGUAAGGAAAAACUAAAGCGUUAAAAACUUUGAGUGAGUCAGACAAACAUACAAUGGAGAGUUUGAUCCUGGCUCAGGAUGAACGCUAGCGGGAGGCCUAACACAUGCAAGCCGAGCGGUAGAGAUCUUUCGGGAUCUUGAGAGCGGCGUACGGGUGCGGAACACGUGUGCAACCUGCCUUUAUCUGGGGGAUAGCCUUUCGAAAGGAAGAUUAAUACCCCAUAAUAUACUGGAUGGCAUCAUUCGGUAUUGAAAACUCCGGUGGAUAGAGAUGGGCACGCGCAAGAUUAGAUAGUUGGUGAGGUAACGGCUCACCAAGUCUGCGAUCUUUAGGGGGCCUGAGAGGGUGAUCCCCCACACUGGUACUGAGACACGGACCAGACUCCUACGGGAGGCAGCAGUGAGGAAUAUUGGACAAUGGGUGAGAGCCUGAUCCAGCCAUCCCGCGUGAAGGACGACGGCCCUAUGGGUUGUAAACUUCUUUUGUAUAGGGAUAAACCUACCCUCGUGAGGGUAGCUGAAGGUACUAUACGAAUAAGCACCGGCUAACUCCGUGCCAGCAGCCGCGGUAAUACGGAGGGUGCAAGCGUUAUCCGGAUUUAUUGGGUUUAAAGGGUCCGUAGGCGGAUCUGUAAGUCAGUGGUGAAAUCUCACAGCUUAACUGUGAAACUGCCAUUGAUACUGCAGGUCUUGAGUGUUGUUGAAGUAGCUGGAAUAAGUAGUGUAGCGGUGAAAUGCAUAGAUAUUACUUAGAACACCAAUUGCGAAGGCAGGUUACUAAGCAACAACUGACGCUGAUGGACGAAAGCGUGGGGAGCGAACAGGAUUAGAUACCCUGGUAGUCCACGCCGUAAACGAUGCUAACUCGUUUUUGGAGCGCAAGCUUCAGAGACUAAGCGAAAGUGAUAAGUUAGCCACCUGGGGAGUACGAACGCAAGUUUGAAACUCAAAGGAAUUGACGGGGGCCCGCACAAGCGGUGGAUUAUGUGGUUUAAUUCGAUGAUACGCGAGGAACCUUACCAAGGCUUAAAUGGGAAAUGACAGGUUUAGAAAUAGACUUUUCUUCGGACAUUUUUCAAGGUGCUGCAUGGUUGUCGUCAGCUCGUGCCGUGAGGUGUUAGGUUAAGUCCUGCAACGAGCGCAACCCCUGUCACUAGUUGCCAUCAUUAAGUUGGGGACUCUAGUGAGACUGCCUACGCAAGUAGAGAGGAAGGUGGGGAUGACGUCAAAUCAUCACGGCCCUUACGCCUUGGGCCACACACGUAAUACAAUGGCCGGUACAGAGGGCAGCUACACUGCGAAGUGAUGCAAAUCUCGAAAGCCGGUCUCAGUUCGGAUUGGAGUCUGCAACUCGACUCUAUGAAGCUGGAAUCGCUAGUAAUCGCGCAUCAGCCAUGGCGCGGUGAAUACGUUCCCGGGCCUUGUACACACCGCCCGUCAAGCCAUGGAAGUCUGGGGUACCUGAAGUCGGUGACCGUAACAGGAGCUGCCUAGGGUAAAACAGGUAACUAGGGCUAAGUCGUAACAAGGUAGCCGUACCGGAAGGUGCGGCUGGAACAUCUCAUUUU
rnacentral:rRNA from 1 species